rnacentral:misc_RNA from 1 species
GAAAUGCGAUAAGUAAUGUGAAUUGCAGAAUUCAGUGAAUCAUCGAAUCUUUGAACGCACAUUGCGCCCGCCAGUAUUCUGGCGGGCAUGCCUGUUCGAGCGUCAUUUCAACCAUCAAGCCCCCGGGCUUGUGUUGGGGACCUGCGGCUGCCGCAGGCCCCGAAAACCAGUGGCGGGCUCGCUGUCACACCGGGCGUAGUAGAUUUUUCGUCUCGCCCAGGGCGUGCUGCGGGUUCCGGUCGUUAAAAAGCCUCUCUUUUAACCCAAGGUUGACCUCGGAUCAGGUAGGAAGACCCGCUGAACUUAAGC